UACGAAGGGGGCUAGCGUUGCUCGGAAUCACUGGGCGUAAAGGGUGCGUAGGCGGGUCUUUAAGUCAGGGGGGGAAUCCUGGAGCUCAACUCCAGAACUGCCUUUGAUACUGAAGAUCUUGAGUUCGGGAGAGGUGAGUGGAACUGCGAGUGUAGAGGUGAAAUUCGUAGAUAUUCGCAAGAACACCAGUGGCGAAGGCGGCUCACUGGCCCGAUACUGACGCUGAGGCACGAAAGCGUGGGGAGCAAACAGG
rnacentral:rRNA from 1 species